rnacentral:rRNA from 1 species
AAAGGAAUUGACGGGGACCCGCACAAGCGGUGGAUGAUGUGGUUUAAUUCGAUGCAACGCGAAAAACCUUACCUACCCUUGACAUGUCUGGAAUCCUGAAGAGAUUUGGGAGUGCUCGAAAGAGAGCCAGAACACAGGUGCUGCAUGGCCGUCGUCAGCUCGUGUCGUGAGAUGUUGAGUUAAGUCCCGCAACGAGCGCAACCCUUGUCAUUAGUUGCUACGAAAGGGCACUCUAAUGAGACUGCCGGUGACAAACCGGAGGAAGGUGGGGAUGACGUCAGGUCAUCAUGGCCCUUAUGGGUAGGGCUACACACGUCAUACAAUGGCCGGGACAGAGGGCUGCCAACCCGCGAGGGGGAGCUAAUCC